rnacentral:rRNA from 1 species
AUUGAACGCUGGCGGCAUGCUUUACACAUGCAAGUCGAACGGCAGCACGGGGGCAGCCCUGGUGGCGAGUGGCGAACGGGUGAGUAAUACAUCGGAACGUGCCCGGUCGUAGGGGAUAACGUAGCGAAAGUUACGCUAAUACUGCAUACGAUCUGAGGAUGAAAGCGGGGGACCUUUGGGCCUCGCGCGAUCGGAGCGGCCGAUGUCAGAUUAGGUAGUUGGUGGGGUAAAGGCCUACCAAGCCGACGAUCUGUAGCUGGUCUGAGAGGACGACCAGCCACACUGGGACUGAGACACGGCCCAGACUCCGACGGGAGGCAGCAGUGGGGAAUUUUGGACAAUGGGCGCAAGCCUGUUCCAGCCAUUCCGCGUGCAGGACGAAGGCCUUCGGGUUGUAAACUGCUUUUGUACGGAACGAAAAGGCUCUGGCUAAUACCUGGGGCUCAUGACGGUACCGUAAGAAUAAGCACCGGCUAACUACGUG